rnacentral:rRNA from 1 species
AGCGGCUAUACCAUGCUGAAUAUACCGGUUCUCGUUAGAUCACCGAAGUUAAGCAUCAUUGGGCGCGGUCAGUACUUGGGUGGGUGACCACCUGGGAACACCGCGUGCCGUU